UGUGCUUCCGAUGGAAUCCUGGUUGUC
rnacentral:piRNA from 1 species